UACGUAGGGACCGAGCGUUGUCCGGAUUCAUUGGGCGUAAAGAGCUCGUAGGCGGCUGUUCAAGUCGAACGUGAAAACUCGGAGCUCAACUCCGAGCCUGCGUUCGAUACUGGACGGCUAGAGUCUGGUAGGGGGAUCUGGAAUUCCUGGUGUAGCGGUGGAAUGCGCAGAUAUCAGGAGGAACACCAAUUGCGAAGGCAGCUCGCUGGGACGUUACUGACGCUGAGACGCGAAAGCGUGGGGAGCAAACAGG
rnacentral:rRNA from 1 species